UGACCGAACCUUGCUUCAAAUAUUGCCUACAUAUCCUUGCUAUAAAGAAAUCAGGUCAGUGUAGUUCAGAAGUGAACGAGGUGAUGGAGUACCGAGGCUGAGAUUCGAGUGAGGUUCCGUCCGAGGCUCCGGUCCGCUGUCCCGGUAUUUCAUCAAAAUCAAAAUUAAAAAAGACUAACUAAGCCUAUCAACUACGAGUUACAAGAUUCCUAUCUAAGAGUCUUCUGAAGCUUGAUCUUGAGUCUAGGUUAGUGCUUUGUGAGGACCCUGAUCUGAAUCUUGAUGUUUAUUAGCCGCAGGUGUUGGUUAAAUCUUCUUCAGCUUUUGGAACAAAUUCGGACACGUACUGCUCAUGACUUCAACCACGUCUUGAGCAGUUCACAUCUUUUCCUACUUCUGAAUUUUGGAGCUCACUUUGUUUGCUCCCUUUUUUUUAUUUUGGAUUGAGACUCAUUCUUUCUGCCAUCUUGAAUCGUGUUCCUCGAGGUCAAACCUACUCGGUACCUUGAACCAUUUUCCCUUGAAACUUGAACUGUCUUCCUUCAAAACUACUUUCUCUUUAAACUUGAGUUGUCUUAUGUUGACACUGCUUUCCCUUGAAACUUGAGUUGUCUUCCCCUGCUCUCCAGGUGAAAUCCAUUGCUGCCAUUUUGAAUUGUAAACUGAGAUGUUUUCCCUUCUUCAAACUACUAAAUUUGAAUGUAUUCCUCUGUUAUCCAGGAGGGCUCCUCUAUUCUCCAGGCGAGCUCCUCGCUUCAAAACUUGAAUGUAUUCCUCUAUUCUCCAGGCGGGCUCCUGACUUCACAAAAAUAGACAAAACAAAGAAAACUUUCUUCCCAAGUUUAUAAAAUUGGGUCUUGUUACCACAUACUAAUAAGAACUAAAACUUGAAUUGUGAUAAGACUUAAAUACAACUUUAAAACUUUUAAAGACUGAAAUGUACCUUAAAAUUUGAAAUUUAUCUUAGGUGAAAAAUUCAUCAGACUAAGAUUUUCAUCUUAGGAUAACGAUUCAACAGACUAAGACUUUUCCUGUUAUCUUAGGUGAACAAUUCAUCAGACUAAGAUUUUACCUUAGGAGAAAUAUUCAGCAGACUAAGAUUUUGACUCUAGGAGAUAAUUCAUCAUACUAGGUCCAUUUUUGUGUGAUCUCAGGAGAAAGAUUCAUCAGGCUGAGAUUUUGACUCUAGGAGAUAUUCAUCAGACUAGGUCCAUUUUUGUGUGAUCUCAUGAGAAAUUCAUCAGACCGAGAUUUUGAAUCUAUGAGAUAUUCAUCACACUAGGUUCAUUUUUGUGUGAUCUCAGGAGAUAUUCAUCAGACUGAGAUUUUGACUCAAGGAGAUAUUCAUCAAAUUAGACUGAGAUUUUGACUCUAGGAGAUAUUCAUCAGACUAGGUCCAUUUUUAUGUGAUCUCAGGAGAAAGAUUCAUCGGACUGAGAUUUUAACUCUAGGAGAUUCAUCAGACUAGGUCCAUUUUUGUGUGAUCUCAGGAGAAAGAUUCAACGGAUUGAGAUUUUUACUCUAGGAAAUAAUCAUUAGACUAGGUCUAAAUUUCGAAUACAAACAUUCCUUUCCUUCUUUAUCAAAUUGUGCCUUCAUUUCUUUCUCUCAAAUUACGCCUUUCUUUCUUUUUUCAACUUUUGCCUUUCUUCCUAAAUUAUGCCUUCCCUUCUUUUUUUCCAACUUCUAUCUUUCUUCCCGAAUUAUGCCUUCCUUUCUUGUCCCAACUUCUACCUUUAUCUUAGGUGAAAGAUUCAUCAGACUAUGAUUUUAUCUUAGGUGAAAAAUUUAUCGGACUAAGAGUUUCUUCCUUCAUCUUAGGUGAAAGAUUCAUCAGACUAAGAUUUCUCUAUCUUAGGUGAAAAUUUCAUCAGCUAAGAUUUUAUCUCAACCAUUUUCCUCCGAAACUUGUUUUAUCUUCCUUCUAACUUGCCUUCCUUUAGAACUGCUUCCCUAAAAACGGGUGUUGUCCUCCUUCAAAACCAACUUCCCUAACAACAAGUGUUUCUAUCCUCCGAAAAUUAGUUGCCUUAAAACCGGUGUUUCUUUCCUGAAAACUACUUCCCCCUUUAUUAAACUUGUAUUGACCUUUAUAUUCUUCAUAUGUAUACCCGCCUUCAAAAAUGAUUUUCAAAACGGUAGAAAUUUCCUGCCCUAGCAUAUCUUUCUUCCAUCAAUAACAUUUCCAUGCCCCUGUUUCAAAUCAAAGAAAAUUUUAUCAGUUUAAUGUGUUGCGGCUGACUGUGGUACUUCUACUGGAGAUGGCUUUCCUUUCUCUCUUUUCCAUGCUCUGUGUUGUCCGCCCAUCUUUGGAACUUGGCUGAUGACUUCUGACUUUCUGACGACUCCUUAUUCACAAUCUUCCACAUUUAGCCUUCCUAUCGGCUAUGAAUCCCAAAGCACGUUUGUUUCCCCCACAGGAUGUUGUUCUUUCUUAGAUUAUCUGAUGACCUUGGCCUUGAGGUUUGUUCCUCCCUUACUUUUCAUGAUAACUUUAUUUUCAUUUGAAGACCCGUGCUUUUCUUGCCUAACCAUUUCAUUUUCCAUUCAAACAUGCCUCUUCUGCAUUUAAACCCUAUACAUUCUGUCUGUUGCCCUGCCUUUGAACUGACUAUUACCAACCCUUGUACCUCUCAUGAACCCCCAAAACAUGUUGAUUGCUACCUACAGUCUGCCGUUCGUUUAAACUGAGCCUCUUGGCCCUGACCUUGAGAUCUAUUGCUCAUUCUCUUACCCCUUGUCACAGAAAAUAUCUAUUCUUCGUUCAAAACCAAAUACCCUUCAUCUGUUGCACUACUCCUGAACCGAAAUCUACUAAACUUUGUGUUUCAUAAGGAUCCCAAAUUAUGUUGAUUAUUACCAGCUCAGUGCUCUUGUUGUUUUUCCUGACUUGUGACCCCAUUUUGUGCAAUUGGAAAGUUGGUGGCAAAUUUUGAAGUCAUUUCUCACUUGUUACGAUCAAAAAGACUCAGAAUGGGAAAAUAAACAAAACUGAGGAAAGGAGUGAAAGACAAAAGAAAGAUGAUUCCUAAAGAGGAGACUACGAAGUAGAAAACUAUCAGAUGUGAGUACUAACUCUAACGACCAAGACAUGCACUUAUAGAUAUUAUGUCAAUCAAUUCUGACGAUUAGCUCUUGUUGUUCCUUUCGCUCUGAAAUUGGGCUUCAAUGCUCCACUUAUCCGAUUUGAUUCGCUGUCCUUAUUCGACUUGUGUUGCCCGGAGGGUUUUCACCAUCAAGCUUCUCUCAUUUGUUCUUUCUCUCAACUUACCAUCGCCUUAAGGUGCCUGUGAAGAUUUUCACCACUAAGACUCUCAUUUUUUAUCUCUCUCAACUUCCAUCACCUUGUUUAGACUGGAGUGUUGCCCCUGACAUGAAUUACCUUACCUGUUUGACUUGACAUUUAUCAAAGACUGAUCAGAAGGUCUUUGUUUGGACCGUAAUGUAGGCUUUUUGAUGGGUUAGAAAGAAAGGGUAUAAAAAGUCUCAAAACAAUUUAAAAUGGGGUUAAAACUACAACUUUCGCAAUCCAAUUUAUC
rnacentral:lncRNA from 1 species